CAAGGGGUAGUUUAAAUAAAAUGUUAGUUUUGGGAAUUAACGAUAGGAAGUGUUUCCUUUCCUUGA
rnacentral:tRNA from 1 species